rnacentral:rRNA from 1 species
GACGAACGCUGGCGGCGUGCUUAACACAUGCAAGUCGAGCGGAGCGGCGGACGGGUGAGUAAUGCCUAGGAAUCUGCCUGGUAGUGGGGGAUAACGUCCGGAAACGGGCGCUAAUACCGCAUACUAUCAGAUGAGCCUAGGUCGGAUUAGCUAGUUGGUGGGGUAAAGGCCUACCAAGGCGACGAUCAGUCACUGGUCUGGGAGGAUGAUCAGUCACACUGGAACUGAGAAACGGUCCGGACUCCUACGGGAGGCAGCAGUGGGGAAUAUUGGACAAUGGGCGAAAGCCUGAACCAGCCAUGCCGAGUGUGUGAAGAAGGUCUUCGGAUUGUAAAGCACUUUAAGUUGGGAGGCGUUACCAACAGAAUAAGCACCGGCUAACUUCGUGCAAGCAGCCGCGGUAAUU